rnacentral:rRNA from 1 species
GACGAACGCUGGCGGCGUGCUUAACACAUGCAAGUCGAGCGGUAAGGCCCUUUCGGGGGUACACGAGCGGCGAACGGGUGAGUAACACGUGGGUGACCUGCCCUCAGCUCUGGGAUAAGCCUGGGAAACUGGGUCUAAUACCGGAUAUGACUCCAUGACGCAUGUUGUGGGGUGGAAAGCCUUGUGCGGCUGAGGAUGGGCCCGCGGCCUAUCAGCUUGUUGGUGGGGNGAUGGCCUACCAAGGCGACGACGGGUAGCCGGCCUGAGAGGGCGACCGGCCACACUGGGACUGAGACACGGCCCAGACUCCUACGGGAGGCAGCAGUGGGGAAUCUUGCGCAAUGGGCGAAAGCCUGACGCAGCGACGCCGCGUGAGGAUGACGGCCU